AGCGAAUGCCGUAGCCAUAAGCAGCCAAGCCGAGAGUCGCCAUGGAAUCCAGGAAGCAAGCUGGGAGAGGCGAUGGGGAAACUCACAAAACCAGAAUUGAAAGAAGACCAGGAUCCAAGGAUCCAGCAAGGGGAGGAUCUGAGAUUUCACUCCAAUCGGAUCAAUCGUGCAAAAUCAGCCAUGCCUAGUGCAGCAUUGAGAAGUCACCAGGCUUCAGAAAACACUGGAGUGGCGGCAUCAGAGCCAUGAACUUCAAUAGCCUGAAUUCAAUUCCCAAAUGAUAAAUAUUGGAACUCGAGAUGAAGGAUCUGGUGGCUGAGAAGACGCAGGGUGGAUUUCUUGGAGCAGCUCAAGACGCCCACCCUGCCCGGGAAUGGCAGAUGGGACCUUGAACCCUUUUUCAGACACCCAAAACUUGUUAAGACCAAGACAAGGUGCAAAGGCAGCUUUCUCCAGCCUGCUAGCUAAAGGUCAAAUAUGAAACGAGUUGAAAUCCGAUCGGCUGGAAAGCUAUGCAGGAUUCUCCAAGGAUGGCAGAGCUGCUCCUGCCGGCCUGGAGAGUGGGACAAAAUUUCGGCAAACAGUUUUAAAGUACGAGCACCGUUUCUACGGUUAGUUGGCUUGGAAGGAACUUGGGCUCAUUCUGCCUGCAAAUGGAAGAUGAAUUCACCUGUUUAUUUUCUCCUGGCAGCAACUUGUUUGGAGAUGCUCCUUUUCAGUUCCUUUCAAUAAAGAUUAAAAAAAAAAAAAUGGGGCUUGUCCAUUUCACUCAACGGCCUGUGGCUUUGUGUUCAGGGUCAAGCCGCCUAUCGUGGCUUGUUCCCUAAUUAAAAUUCAUUGCGUUCUGGCUCAAAAUAGAACAAAGCCAGCAAGCUCUGUUAUGGUUAUUUCCCUCUCUACCUAGCGUUUCUCAACCCUGGCAACUUUUUUUUUUUUUAAAUGUGUGGACUUCAAGUUCCCAGAAUUGAAUGCUGGCUGGGGAAUUCUGGGAAUUGAAGUCCUCGCGUUUUAAAGCCAGAGAGGCCGAGACACAGUUGGCGCGGACCAAGGCAGGAUUCUGAAGUACAACUCCAUCAUCCUUUGCUUGAUGGAAGCAGACCUCAAAAAUAACUGAGGCCUCUUGAAGACGGCACUGGAGGAAGGACCCCUAUUCCCCCCCCCCACAAGCUCAUUAUUUUAAACCUGCCUCUUGGUUGGUUGGUUGCUACUCAUUUCUGGAGGCUGUUCAAACAUCCCCCAGGCUGGCUUGUGAUGGGAGAAACACACCAAAACUUCCCUUCCUUUUGCUGCCCGGUUGAAAUUCUCCAGUCUCGCUUCACACUCUUAUGUUUUUGGCAGGGGUGGAGAAGGACAGCCAAGUCCCUGGGAUAGGAGGCAGUAAGAGUCCAUCGUCUCCCAUCUGUGGACCUGGAACCCAGGCGCAGAACACUAGACUUCAGCCACUUUGAAUUAAGAGCCCCCCCCAAAUAAAGCCACUUUGAACUAAGAGUUCCCCCCCCCCAAUAAACCCAUUGGGCUUUGAAUGCCACUUCUGGGCAGAGACAACUGCAAACUCUUGGAGGCUCGGAACAGCCUGUUCUUCGCCAAAGGGCGUUUUUGUAUUCAGGUGGCGGAUAAAGUCAUCCACAAAGGGGCUUUCCUGAAAUCGUUAGCAGAACACAGAAGUGAAUUUGUUCCAAUUGUGGAAGCCGUGUUCCGCUUUCUCCAAAACAGCAGCCGCAGGGGGGCAAUGGCUGUUUGCACGGCACACUAAAGCCCGUCACGGCCAGGUUCGCUUAACUGUAUCGAACGAGCGGACAGGGACUUAUAAACUACGGCUUAUGGCCCGCCAAGCCAACCACUGCAACCGUUCCUGCUGACCGGCGCUCUGACUUUUUCUGACUUGGAUGGUGACUCGGCCCUUAUUGCCGACUCUCACAGCACAGAUUUAUCCGCUCCGGUUCCCGGCAAGCUUCUCGCCAAGGAGGAAGGUUCAAGGGGAUUGUUUCAAUGCUGAGAAAUCCCUAUUCGUAAAUGGCCCUAACACCUGAGAAGAUCAAUUUAAUUUUUAAAAGGAAACUGGCUUUAAAACCUCAUGGCAGCUGCCAGAAAGAAAAAAAAAAAGUUAGGGAGACUGGUGUUCUAGCAGGACAAUUCCUGUGACUUUUCACCAGAACCGUCCUCCCCAUGACAGACACGUUGCUAGCAAAUUGCCCGAGAAACGGGAGAAAAACCCUCUUCUCCUCCCCUGCCUCCAGAGGACCCAUGGGGCUGGGCGCCGAGGACCACGGCCUCCAAUCUGCGACCUGCGACCGGCAGCAGCUAAAGCCGUUCCCCUUCUAAAUGAAAGGGAGAAUGCAACGGGGCUAUUUUAAAAGCGGCAUUUAAUUGGAACCUCCUCUUUUCUACGUCGGUUUUCAUUCUUACACCAAAGGGGGGGGGCGGCCAGAAAAAAAAGCAAUUUUAAGAAAAUGGUUACAGGAGACAGGACCGUCCACAUACACACAUCAACAGAAGCCAUUCAAUCGAGGGAGGGGCGGGUCACCCCAGCCACAAAACCCUGCUGUGUUAAAAAAAAAAAAAA